rnacentral:rRNA from 1 species
GAUGUGCCCAGAUGGGAUUAGCUAGUAGGUGGGGUAAUGGCUCACCUAGGCGACGAUCCCUAGCUGGUCUGAGAGGAUGACCAGCCACACUGGAACUGAGACACGGUCCAGACUCCUACGGGAGGCAGCAGUGGGGAAUAUUGCACAAUGGGCGCAAGCCUGAUGCAGCCAUGCCGCGUGUAUGAAGAAGGCCUUCGGGUUGUAAAGUACUUUCAGCGGGGAGGAAGGUGUUGAGGUUAAUAACCUCAGCAAUUGACGUUACCCGCAGAAGAAGCACCGGCUAACUCCGUGCCAGCAGCCGCGGUAAUACGGAGGGUGCAAGCGUUAAUCGGAAUUACUGGGCGUAAAGCGCACGCAGGCGGUCUGUCAAGUCGGAUGUGAAAUCCCCGGGCUCAACCUGGGAACUGCAUUCGAAACUGGCAGGCUAGAGUCUUGUAGAGGGGGGUAGAAUUCCAGGUGUAGCGGUGAAAUGCGUAGAGAUCUGGAGGAAUACCGGUGGCGAAGGCGGCCCCCUGGACAAAGACUGACGCUCAGGUGCGAAAGCGUGGGGAGC